rnacentral:rRNA from 1 species
AACGUAGGAGGCGAGCGUUAUCCGGAUUUACUGGGCGUAAAGCGCGUGCAGGUGGUUGGGUUAGUUGGAUGUGAAAGCUCCUGGCUUAACUGGGAGAGGUCGUUCAAUACUGCCCGACUUGAGUAUGGGAGAGGGAAGCGGAAUUCCGGGUGUAGUGGUGAAAUGCGUAGAUAUCCGGAGGAACACCAGUGGCGAAAGCGGCUUCCUGGUCCAUUACUGACACUCAGACGCGAAAGCUAGGGGAGCGAACGGG